rnacentral:lncRNA from 1 species
GGGUGUAACGAGGUGGAGGAGGAUCUCCAGUGCUGAGGCGCCGGGUGGAGGAGACGCCGUGGUGUCUACAUUGCGCUCACUGCUGACGGGGGUCCGCAAGGUCGAGCGUUGGGAGGGGUUGAUCAGGAUUAUGUCGAGGGCGAGACGUCGACGCUGGUGUCGGCAACCGUGACCAUGACCAGGGGAGUGAGGCACCAACGACCAUGACAUUGACCAUGCUGGCCCCUUGUCUUUCGUACCUGCCGCGAUCCGGUUCAGGCAGCUGCCAUUCAAACUGAUCCCGUCCAGCAACCUUCAGGUGAGUGAGCAGCUUCUGCUCCACCGAUGCAGACAUACAGAGGUUCAACUUCAUGGGCUGGAGCUCGGCUGUAUUCACUUGCAUAUGCAUUUUUUCUACAACAUUGGAUUCUCCAGGAAGUUCAUGCAUGUUCAUCCUCUAUUUGAUGUGGUUUUCUCUCAUAAUGUGGGCCAUGGAGAUAGGUGCCCUUUUAGUUACCACAGAUUUUAGAAUUUUUCUGCUAACUGCCAUCUCCACUUUCUUGUCAGAUUAGGCAACUAAUAACUGAAUUUUUGCACAGUUCUACUCCCUCCGUCCCAAAAUAUGUGUCUCAACUUUAGUACAACUUAUUUUGGGACGGAGGGAGUAUCAUUUUUGCACUCAUUUAUGGGUCCAUCUACAUUGAUUUGAUAAAAUAAAAUAAAAUUAGUAGCGUCUUCUGCUAUUCUGUAACUUAAAUCAAGAAUGCCGUCUCAUGUGUCUGUUUUGAUAAUGCAGUUUGUAAUGCAAGCUAAUUGUAGUGCCAUGUUCCAGCUCCUUUUAUUUCCAUUGUUGUGUGCUUGGUUGGUCAUGUGCUCUCCUUGCCAUGUUCAAAUCAAAGUGUACCUGUAGAUGCUCAAAAUUACUUGAGUUAUGUACUGCUUGGACUUUUUAGUUAAAGCAUCAUCUCUUAGAAUUGCUUAUAUUUACCUGUUACACAUCAUUUGGGUCUUCUGCAUUGCCAAGAGUUGUUAGCUAAAAGUUCGUACACUGUAUAAUUUCUUGUUAGCUUCUGUGCAUGGAGUCAUGUUCUGGGUUGUACAAUCCAGGUUGACUAUGCUGAGAUAAUCGUCAUUUUGAUUAUGACACCUUACCAAGUUUAAUAUUUCAGUUCUCUGAUGUUAUACAUAAUCUGGUUACUUAUUGCAGCAUAUUGUGCUUCCCAUUUUUAUUUAAUUCUGUCACAUACUUGGAGUAUUCGGCACACGGUGAACUUCUUUUAAUUAGGAUAGCUACUUGUAUUAUAAUUCUAUCAGCAACCUAAUCUCUCAGUAUAAGUUAUCCAACCUAUUUGUAGUUCAGACCUUGCAAAUAUAUAUUGCUUCAAUAUUUACCUAUGACCCGUAAUAAGUAAACAUAUGUAAAGUUAAACUACUUCAUUUAUGUACUAUUUGCUGGAUGUAAAAUGUUAUUUGUGUUGCAUAGUUCAACUAUGAAGCAAAUUGAUCAUGUGCUAGGAUGGUAUCUUAGUAUCUAUGCUUAAGUUGUUAAUUGCGAACCAAGGUGAUCAUUACAGAAGAUAAUAUUGUUUCUCUCUCUGCAGUUUGCCGUUUUCGUAUGAUACUAUGAUGCAUGAGUUCAUGAAGCAAGCAAAAGAAUCUAUCUCAAAAUUUUGUGUUCCAACCUAUAACAAUUCAACAACUGUUGAGUGCUGACUUUGGCUAUCUAGCAUGCUGACAAGACAAAGAAUAAUCCUCGGUUGCUGACUUUGAGCACUGAAGUAUGUGAAUUUUGUUCUCAUGGAUUUAUGCAAAUAUGAGAAAUUUUCAUUUUCUUACUGAUGUUAUGGUACGGCUAUAUAAAUCGAAAUUUCAG